CGCAUCAAAACGUUAAAGGAAAUCAAGCGGGAGAAAGCUCUUCAAAUGCGGCAGGGUGUGGACAGCAAAAAGACACAGCUUCAGCCUGAGAGAACUCCAUUUGAGAGGAGACUGCAAUGCAUUACAAAACCAACAGACAAACGCAAGGCCAGAAAAAAUUAAAACCAAAAAAGACGAGGGAAACGAAAAAGGAAACCUGAAAAACAAAUUCCAACUAAGCAAAGCUCACCAACGAUUAUAACUGUGAAAAACGCAAGGCCAGAAUAAUUUAAGACAGGAAAAGAAGAUGGAAAUGAAAAAGGACCAUUACAGCAGUGGAUGGCUCCCAAAAAGAAUGUGGGUGGCCCAAAGGGCAAGGGCCCAGCCAAGAAGAUGCUUUUAUCACCUGAAGACAAGGGCUUCCACCGCUACCAACACUGAAGGAGCAUGGCCUUGGGAACAGGGCCAGCUGCAUGAGCCGUUACGUUGCCAAACCAGCCAGACGGAGGCCAUUUCACAAGGCAGUAGUUAAGGCCCUGACACUCUAAUUAUUUUGUUAUUGCUAUUUCUUUAAGUUUAUUAAUUAGUAAUUUAACUUUGUUAAUUAGGAUCACUGUACAGUACUUAUUUUCUUGUUGUCUUGUUUGUUCUUCUUUUCAUUACUUCUUUGCUUUGUCCUUUUGUUUCUCUUUAUCUGAAGUUUCUUCUUUUCUUUCUCCUUUCUCUCUGCACCUCCUGCUUCUUUCUUCCUUCUGCAUUGCUCAACUGGUUACUCCUUUCAAAUUUUUUAUGUUCCUCUGUAUCCCUUCCUUUUUGUAUUAUUCGUUCCCCAUCCUCCCACAUACUUUCAGGCACAGCUGGCACUUCACUCAUUCACCCACUCACUCACCCACUCACUCACCCACCCUCUUUCAGACAUAGCAUUUCAUUCAUGCCUUUUCAGUGGAAAGGAAGCCUAGCUGCUAGUAAACUGUUUAUGGUGGGGGAAGCUACCCACCCGCACUGUUCAAAUCAGUAAUAACAAUUUUACCAUCCCAAAAAUGGGGGUGUCACUCUUAUGCAAUUAAGUAUGGUGUUCCAUUAUCUCAUUUAUAGUUAAAGGUAAAGAUUUGCCCCUGACAUUCAGUCGUGUCCGACUCUGGGGGUUGGUGCUCAUCUCCACUUGGAAGCCGAAGAGCCGGCGCUGUCCAUAGACACCUCCAAGGUCAUGUGGCAGGCAUGUCUGCUUGGAGAGUCGAGAUAGAUAGAUAUAUAAUUUGUAUUUAAAUCAUUGCAUCUAAAUCAAAUGUUACUAUUUCUAAACAUAGAUAUUUGUGUUUAAAAUAAAGAUGUCAGAAAUGUA